AUGUUGAGGUCGAGGGAUCCGCUAAUCAUCGGGAGGAUCGUUGGCGACGUCGUCGACUACUUCGACGCCUCGGCGCGGCUGAGGGUGUUGUACGGCAACCGCGAGAUCACGGUUGGGUCCGAGCUGAGGCCAUCGCAGGUGGCGAACCAGCCCACGUUGCGCAUCACAGGAAGGGCGGGAUCACUCUACACGCUCGUGAUGGUAGACCCUGAUGUACCUGGACCAAGCAACCCUUCCGAACGGGAGUACCUCCAUUGGUUUGUCACGGACAUACCAGAAGGAGGUGACGUGGGCCGUGGCACUGAGGUGGUGGCAUACGAGAAGCCGCAACCGACGGCAGGGAUCCACCGUUUGGCAUUCGUGGUGUUCCGGCAGGCUGCGCGGGAGGCCAUCUAUGCACCAGGGUGGCGCUCCAACUUCAUCACGAGGGACAUGGCCGAGUGCUACAGCCUUGGCGCUCCGGUCGCUGCCGCCUACUUCAACUGCCAGAGGGAGGGCAGCUGCGGUGGCCGGAGGUGGCAGGGGUGA
rnacentral:rRNA from 1 species